GUAGGUGGCAAGCGUUGUCCGGAAUUAUUGGGCGUAAAGCGCGCGCAGGCGGUCCUUUAAGUCUGAUGUGAGAGCCCGACGGCUCAACCGUGGAGGGUCAUUGGAAACUGGGGGACUUGAGUACAGAAGAGGAAAGCGGAAUUCCAAGUGUAGCGGUGAAAUGCGUAGAGAUUUGGAGGAACACCAGUGGCGAAGGCGGCUUUCUGGUCUGUAACUGACGCUGAGGCGCGAGAGCGUGGGGAGCAAACAGGAUUAGAUACCCUGGUAGUCCACGCCGUAAACGAUGAGUGCUAAGUGUUAGGGGGGUUUUCCGCCCCCCUUAGUGCUGCAGCUAACGCAUUAAGCACUCCGCCUGGGAGUACGGCCGCAAGGCUG
rnacentral:rRNA from 1 species